rnacentral:ncRNA from 2 species
CAUUGAGGUAGAGGUCGCGUGAGUCAUUAAUCCUGUCGAGUGGAGCAACACAAAGAAGCAGGCCUAGGGAGUCACGCCGAAAUCAAAAGAGAGUUGCUUCUUUUUUUUGAUUGGGGCGCAAAUCAAUAAUUUGCGAACUGUCUUAGCAUUUGCUAAGUUGCGCUAUGUUUUGU